rnacentral:rRNA from 1 species
AUCGCGUCGCCCCCCCAACAACCGUGCAUGAAAAAUUGCCGGUUGUCUCAGGGGCGGAUAUUGGCUUCCCGUGCUUCGGUGCGGCUGGCCUAAAUUCAAGUCCUUGCGCAAGGACACGACGACAGUGGUGGUUGAUUACCUCAACUCAGUUGCUGUCGGACGUUGACCCGUCGGUGAGGAGACGUACCUAGACCCAAAUGCAUGCGACGACAUCACGCCUGCGCACGACCAC